UACGUAGGGUGCGAGCGUUAAUCGGAAUUACUGGGCGUAAAGCGUGCGCAGGCGGUUUUGUAAGCCAGAUGUGAAAUCCCCGGGCUUAACCUGGGAAUGGCAUUUGGGACUGCAAGGCUUGAGUGCGGCAGAGGAGACUGGAAUUCCUGGUGUAGCAGUGAAAUGCGUAGAUAUCAGGAGGAAUACCGAUGGCGAAGGCGACUUCCUGGCCUGUUCUUGACGCUGAGGCGCGAAAGCUAGGGGAGCAAACGGG
rnacentral:rRNA from 1 species